ensembl:lincRNA
AUGUCUUCCUGCAUCGGUGUUCUGCCAGGCACUUGGAACUGCAGCCAGAGACAAGUGGAGCAGCACUUGUGUUUGUCGCUGUCUGGCAGGCAGGGCACUGGACUCGGUAUUGCUGUCUUAACUUUCCCUUGCAAGUGCUUCUCUCCACUCUGGCAUUUCAUGGGCCCCCUGCAAAGUUUUAUCAACACUUGUUGCUGCUCUUUCUGCUGCUCACGCAGGAGGUCAUGCAGACUUCAUCGAUUCCUCUUCAUCGAUCUGACAAGCGGUUGCAGAGAACCAUUUAUUUUUAAAGGCACGCACGCACAUACGUGCGCGCAUUGCAAUCGUGCGGAAUCGCUUUGAGGUGAGAUGAUAAUCUUUUUUUUUUGUUUACCCACAUUUGUGUGCUUUCUUGCAGGACAUCCUGACUAUAAUGCACAGUGUAUUUGAAACAGAGUGAUAGUGGACAGUAAAGGACGUGUUUGAAAGGUUCUCAUGCCAGCUGACAAACUGGUGUUUCCAAACUGGUCUCCGCAAGAUCUUGAAGGGGAAACGGCCCAUGUGUGAACUUUGUAGGAAGUGCUAAUGGAGCCUGAUGAUGAUUCAAAGUUAUAGUACACGCCUGAACAACUGUGGCAGUUUUAUGAGCUUGCAUGGAUCAGUGCCUGACAUUGUUCCUAUUGUAGCUCGAGGCAGGCGGUUUAUCGAUAUCGGUCCUUUCACUCGUACCAUAUUAUUUACGUUGGUUGCUUGGGCCCCCUGUAUAUGAACAGAACAUGCAUCCCUCGUAAUAUGGGAACUUGAUAUGCAGAAUUUUGCGACAACGUAAUGUAUAAAUUAGCGAACCAAUUUUGUUAUAUGUUGCGUUAAAUUCGCUUUUGUGGAAUUUUGAAUCUCUAGAUUAUAAAAAAAUUAUUUUGUCCUCGCAUACAUUUCAUAUUGACCACGUCGUUUGCAUGCACAUUUCAUCCUGCACUGGUUUCCCACGCUUUGUCUGCUACUCAAGCUUGGCUGGUUUUAAUUUAACCCAUUGUGUUGAUCAUGCUUGGUACUGGACUGUGAAGGGUUUCACCCGUUUUCAUCAUUCUUACUUCAGCAAAAGUAAGUCAAAAUGUCUUGAAAAUGGCUAAUUUUGAGCAUUAUUAUGAAUAUUCCAAAUUUCUUUGAAAUGUAUGUACUUUAAAAAGUUUGCUCCAUUCUGAAGUGUGUGUUUAUUUUGUCUUGGGACUGAAAAAUAGCUUGCUGUCAUGUGCGGCCUAUGGCUGCUGGUUGCAUCACUUUUCUGCGGGCACGGAUAUGCUGCUGAUGCAGUGCCCUCUGCCAGUGCACUGGUACUCAUUUUUCUGACUUCAGGAAGAUGACAGGCUGAGUCAACCCCACUUGAUGUUGAUUCAAUGGCCGACAGGGGCUCAAACUCGAGACCCUAAGAUAUUAAGCGAACACCAGGCUUGCCCAGAAAAUGUUUCCAUAGUAACGCGUCUUCAACUAAAAUGGCCAGGCUCAACAGUUUGUUUUGUUUCCCACUGAUGGGCCGGAUCUGCAUCCGGACCAUUCGUCCUUGUCACAUACGAAAAUCUCAUCGGCUUGUUCUUGUCACCUACCCAACUGAUUCACCUAGCUUUGUCAUAACUCGAUCAUAACUUUUUGAAAUUGUGCUGCAUAUCGUUUUUUGGCCUCCUCUCUCAAUGUUGAAGAAUCACUUAGAAAAUUAAAAAAAACUCUCUUAUUUGGAUCUGGAUCUUCACCAGAAUUGAUUCAAUUCAUCCUUGUCACACAUCCAACCUGCCCACCAUGUUUCGUCCUUAUCUGUCCAUAAUGUUUUGAGAUAUCCUGCUCACAGACAGACGGGUGAAAACAUAACCAACCUUUGGUGAUGGCCCCCCCCCCCC